ACCCAAAAAACCGGCCCUCAUCCACCUCUCGACCCACACCAAAUAGGGUUUCUGUCCGCCACCGCCGCUCGCAUCGUCGCCUUCUCCUCAGCUCUUGAGCUCCCACCCCUCUCGCUCGCCAGUCGCCUGUGCCCCGAGCCCCCACUAGCCCGACCUUGGAGAAGGCUGCGGUCGCCGGAUCCAGCCAUGGCCGUCACCAACGCCCUCCUCUCCAUCGCCGCAGGCCCAUGUUGGAUUCAGCCGGCGUGCCGGCCGAGCGCGCAACCCUAACCUCAAUUAGGAGCCCGAGGGAGGGGGAGCGGGACUGGAGCUCGAUUCAGCCGCCGUGCCUUGGAUUCAGCCGCCGUGCUAUACCCGGGGGAGGGGGGAGCGGGACUGGAGCUUGAUUUGGACAGGGGGCGGUUUGUGGCUCCCGUGCGCGUUGAAGAUUCGGCGGCGGUCGCGUCCUGCAUCAACGGCGCGACGAGGAAUCAUAGGACAGAUGGGAGAGAUGAGGAGAUGGGAGGAGGAAGGAAGGAACGGGGAGGGACUCACCGACGCGGUGGCGCUCGCCGGAGGCUGGCUGGCGGCGGGGUCACACGAAAACGGCGGCACGCGUGUGGCACCCUCCCCGGCGGCGCGAGCAGGAAGGAGGAGGUGCACAGGAGGCGUAGGUGCUACGGUGAGAUGGGCUUCAGAUGUACAGCCGGCCCUAGCGCUGCAACUUCUGCAUCAGAGAAGGUGGAAGAUAAUCUGUUCAAUCUUUUCAAAGGUACAUUGGUGAAAUGCAGCAACCAGAUAAAAGAAAUGCAUUACUCCAUCACCACACUGAUGCUCCAUCUCCCUCUGAUGGCAAGUGCGACCCUGAUGAAGCUGCUCCCCUACAUCAAGGACUACCCCAACAGUGCGGCCUUGAUGGCACAACUCCCAUACACCAAGGACUAGCCCCAUGGUGCGGCCACGACAUCACUGCUCCCCUACACCGCCGACUACAACCUGAGAUCUUAGAACAGGUUUGCAGGUUCAUUGGAACAAAUGUUCAAAAGGAAGAUGCACAGUAAGAAUUACAGUAAGAAGUUCAACUACGAGCCCAGACAUGAGGUAUUUUAACCGCCAACAGAGGGUGUGUUGCGCUAAAAAUUAGUAAUCUUCGCUCCAAAUUCUUAGGUCACUGGCCCAGGUUAGUGCCCAUUGUCAUUGUGCAUCUCUGUUAACUAUUUUAGAACUAGCACAAAUCUGAGUAGGGCUGGAACAAAAUGAACACCCAGGGUUCGAGUACCUCUACUAUGAUAUAAUUAUCUUCCAAACAGGUGUCAUUUCCUUAUCAAGAUGGUUCUCGUGAUUUAGGAAAACUAACAACACCUCAAUGGUCUUCGCACUAGAUUAGCUGUAGGAUCCAUUUUCUGGAGCAUUUUGAUUUUGGUGGACUAUUUAGAUACUUCCAUACAUACACUUUACUGAAGGUUAUUUUGACGGAACGUUAGCUUGGAAGCUUUUCCAUACUUUUUGUAACUAUCCUUCAGCAAAACUAGAUGCAGUUUGUGUUGUGAUGAAAUUAAGAUUGCUCACAAUAUUUUGCAGGAUAAAAUUAAUUACAAUGUAAGUUCUUUGGUGUGUGAUCCAUUACAAUACAGGAAGUUUGUGGUUUAUGCCAUAAAAUUUCAGUUAAUAUUUGGAUUGAAGGGGGAGAUGCUACAACAGUACAACUACAAGUUCCCUUGCUUCUUUGUAAGGGAACCAAUCAACUAACUUAAUGAGAUUGAUGCACGAGAGCUUCUAGAUGUUCUUCUCGAUCUUGAAUAUUCAUUUUCUCCAACUAUGCAAGAUUUGCUUGUGUAUAAGUUUGAUAAGGCCAGGGGCAAGAACAAAGUGGUUGAUUCAUUGAAUGAAGUAUGCGUUAUGUACAGUCCUCCAGAAUUCAGAAAUUGAUCUAUAAUUCUGUGAAGAGAAGGUUUUCAAACCCAAAGGAGCAUUGGCAACCUUAGGGACUUGGGCGCCAACGUGUAGUCCCAGCAGAAGUUGCUCACCCGGAAGGUGGUCUUCUCCAAGGCCUCCCUAGCCUUUGAACAAGACCGCUCCAUCAAGGGUAAACCAUUGAGUGGCAAUGAUACAUGUGUGUCCAUACGACAUAGUGAUUAGCAGCAUGAGGUGCUGAGCACAUCGCGUGUGUGUCUGUAUGUGUGCGCUGAUAUGCGGUUCAUGAGGAACAAACUGAUUAAGCAUGCUCCAAAGCUACGAGCGACUGAACUAGGUUGAAACCAAGAGGGCAUUGUAAACUUUGAUGACACUUUGUGGGAAACCAAUUACUUCAUGGCCAGAGGUGAUUUUGGAAUGGAGAUUUCAGUUGAGAAGAUAUCCCUUGCACAGAAAAUGAUGGUCUACAAGUGCAACCUUGCUGGUGAGCCUGUUGUCACAGCGAUUGUAGGCAACAUCCAUUCCAAUUGUCCAUUGGUUUAACUGCAGUUUUUUAUGUACAAUUUAUAGGCCGGACUGAUUUUUUACUUGCCCUGAUGAAGCUGUAGACUAUACACAUAAGUUGCUGAUUUUGCAUGCUAUACUUGUGUAAAUGUUGUUCCACCUUCCCACUUUGUAAUUUCAUGGCCAUUUCAGAUGAUCUAGACAUUUAAUGUAUGGAAUUUACAUUGGCACUAAAUAAGGAAUAUUGAAAGAUAGUAUGCCACAAUAUCUGUUAUGAGCUUUUCAGAAAGUUGUAAAGAAUAGUUCUAUUUUUUGUGGGUAGUCAAUCAAAUUAUGGUUCUUGGUUGAAGCCCUCUUGAUGACAUCAUGGAGAGAUUAAGAACAUCAGCAACAUCUUGCGGUGUUCCUCCUCAUCGUUGUUGUCACCAUCGAAUAAUGACGACCAGCUCAUUAGACCGCUACUAGAGCAUUGGAGCCUUCUUGAGAAGGCAACACACCUGAGAUUGGGAGAGAGUGCGCGAGAGAGGGGGAGAUAGCGAGGGAGCGAGGGAAGGGGGAAUUGGGAGAGAGAUCUUGCACACAUUGGUAGGAAAAACAUGUUCUGAAAUAUAAAUGAGAUUUGAUGGUAAGUCAUCAUUGUGUUUGUUCCC